CUGUACUCUACUUGUCGUUGUCCUUUAAGCUGUCAGGGGUUUACCUCUGUACCACCAACACCCUCUUUCCUUUCACGUCCCAUUCUCCUGAGGGUGGUAAGCAUAGUUUCAGGGUCAUGUUCAUUCAGUCCCAUUCCCUGAGGGUGGUAAGAAUAGUUCAGGGUCAUUCUCCUGAGGGUGGUAAGAAUAGUUCAGGGUCAUUCAGUCCCAUUCCUGAGGGUGGUAAGCAUAAUUCAGGGUCAUGUUUCAUUCGUCCCAUUUUCCUGAGGGUGUAGAAUAGUAGGGUCAUGUUCAUUCCGUCCCAUUCCCUGAGGGUGGUAAGAAUAGUUCAGGGUCAUUAGUCCCUUACCCUGAGGGGUGGUAAGAAUAGUUCAGGGGUCAUGCAGUCCCCAUUCCCCUGAGGUGGUAAGAAUAGUUCACG
rnacentral:lncRNA from 1 species